rnacentral:rRNA from 1 species
AGUGGCGCACGGGUGAGUAACACGUGGGUAAUUUACCUUUAAGCUGAGAAUAACUUCGCGAAAGUGGGGCUAAUACUCAAUAAGACUACGAUAACCUUGGAUUAUUAUAGUAAAAGAAGGCCUCUGAUUUAAGCUUUCACUUAAAGAGAAGCCCGCGUACCAUUAGCUCGUUGGUAAGGUAAUGGCUUACCAAGGCUACGAUGGUUAGCUGGUCUGAGAGGAUGAUCAGCCACACUGGAACUGGAACACGGUCCAGACUCCUACGGGAGGCAGCAGUGGGGAAUCUUGCGCAAUGGGGGAAACCCUGACGCAGCAACGCCGUGUGAGCGAUGAAGGCUUUCGGGUCGUAAAGCUCUGUUAGGUGGAAAGAAUUUUUUCCAAUUGAAUACAUUGGAAAAGUGACGGUACCACCAGAGGAAGCACCGGCAAACUCCGCGCCAGCAGCCGCGGUAAUACGGAGGGUGCAAGCGUCGUUCGGAAUCAUUGGGCGUAAAGAGCGUUGUAGGUGGUUAAAUAAGUCAGAUGUGAAAUACCUUAGCUCAACUAAGGAAGUGCAUCUGAAACUGUUUAGCUUGAGUACGGGAGGGGAAUGGCGGAAUUCCCAGUGUAGAGGUGAAAUUCAUAGAUAUUGGGAGGAACACCGGUGGCGAAGGCGGCCUUCUAACCCGAUACUGACACUGAGACGCGAAAGCGUGGGGAGCAAACAGGAUUAGAUACCCUGGUAGUCCACGCUGUAAACGAUGGGCACUAGGUGUAGGAGGUUUUAUCCCUUCUGUGCCGCAGCUAACGCAUUAAGUGCCCCGCCUGGGGAGUACGGUCGCAAGGCUAAAACUCAAAGGAAUUGACGGGGGCCCGCACAAGCGGUGGAGCAUGUGGUUCAAUUCGACGCUACGCGAAGAACCUUACCUGGGCUUGACAUUCCGGUGAAAGUUCCUGAAAAGGUAACCCUCUUUGAGUAAUCGAAGACACCGGAACAGGUGCUGCAUGGCUGUCGUCAGCUCGUGUCGUGAGGUGUUGGGUUAAGUCCCGCAACGAGCGCAACCCUUAUUUUUAGUUGCUAACAUUAAGUUGAGCACUCUAAAGAAACUGCCGAUGUUAAGUCGGAGGAAGGUGGGGAUGACGUCAAGUCCUCAUGGCCUUUAUGUCCAGGGCUACACACGUGCUACAAUGGUCGGUACAAAGGGCAGCAAUCUCGCGAGAGGGAGCCAAUCUCAAAAAGCCGAUCUCAGUUCGGAUUGAAGUCUGCAACUCGACUUCAUGAAGGCGGAAUCGCUAGUAAUUCUGGAUCAGCAUGCCAGAGUGAAUACGUUCCCGGGCCUUGUACACACCGCCCGUCACACCACGAAAGUCGUUUGCACCAGAAGUCGCUGAGUCAA